UGAAGAUGCCAUCAGCAGUCCUCUUAUCUUUGUCCGUGACCAGGCAGCCCGUUAACCUGCCCUGGUCACGUUAUAUAGUAUUCCCCCGAGUGUUAGUUAAAUUAGGAACGGUGGUCACCACCUUAUAUAUAUAGUGUUCAAGUUGUUUGUUACGUUAAUAAAUAGUGUUGCCUCCAAGUUGGGUGUGCGCCUCAAUCGAACCCAUUACACAUGCAUAGGUUUAAUGAAGGCCUAAAAUAACAUUUAAUAUGUAAUUGAACAAGUACGCAGUAUGCUAAUUGUAAUUUUUUUGAAUAAUGUUGCAACAACUAAGUUGAAAGCUUGCUGACAAGCUUUAGUGAAUAAAAGCCUCUACAAGAUAAAUUAACUACAGUGACUAGCACACACCCUACCUCUAGUGAUGUCAGAUUAGUGGUGUUAUUUGUACAAGUCGCCGUGUAUUUGACAGCGGUGCACGAUGGCUAUUGGAAGAAGAGCUGAACGGUGCGAAUUAGUGUUCCUGCCAGCGCCACGAUUUUUUUCAGACUGAAAAUGUGAGCACGUCGUUCUGCGUGAUGCCGUGACCCAAACAAGGAUCUUCUUCUCGCGAACGAUCUUGCGCCCGUUGCAGUAGCGGCAGCGGUGCCGCGGGUUGAUGCGCUCGCCAUGGCCGUGGCACUCGGGACACACAGACUGGAUCUGCUGCACCAUGCCCAGCCCAAUUUGCUGGAUCUGCAGAAGAGGUCAAAUAUGUCCAUGGGGCUACUGAAGCCGUUGCCACUGUUGCUGCUGCCCCCCUUGAGGGCUUGCUCCCCUCCCAUGUCAUAAAGCUCUCGCUUCUUGGGGUCCAGCAGAACCUCGUAUGCCUGGGAAAUCUGUUUGAACUGUGUAAGCAAAAACAGAAGACAAGCCAACACACGCACGUUAGUGCCUGUCGGUAUCUAUUUUACAAGCCCAUACGUGCAAGUUGCAGUGAGAAUCCAAGCAAACUUUUGUAUUCAAUUUCAUUAAAUCUUAUGAUGGCUGGCAGCGCUCUAAAUAGAUGCCUAUCUAGUGUGGCCAACUGCUGUACAUUUACAGCUGACUUUUCAGCUACAUGAGAUUGCAACGACCCUUCUGCGUCACCAAACGCCAUAUAAAAUAUGAUGUACCGUGUCACUCUAUUGUAAAAUUAUGAAGUCACACAUAGCUCUCAGAGUUCACGUAUCACUAUACAAAGUGCACAUUCAUAUCUUGCUUAGCAGAGAGUGCUGAGGUUACUGGUCGCUGACCAAGGAGUUUUGCAGUUUUAUUUUUGUCCUGGACAGUAAAUAUGUUGUCGAGAGCUGUGGCUAUAAUGUUGUUAUGUGGUGGGUGAAGGAUGUCCUCAGUGUCUGGUUUUUCACUCGGCAUGUAACAAUUCACCUCCAAAAUUCAACAUGUUAUGUUAUUAUUUUAUUUCACUAUUAUAUUAAAUAUUUUCACCUAC